CCUACGGGGGGCAGCAGUAGGGAAUCUUCCACAAUGGACGAAAGUCUGGUGGAGCAACGCCGCGUGAGUGAAGAAGGGUUUCGGCUCGCAAAGCUCUGUUGGUAGUGAAGAAAGAUAGAGGUAGUAACUGGCCUUUAUUUGACGGUAAUUACUUAGAAAGUCACGGCUAACUACGUGCCAGCAGCCGCGGUAAUACGUAGGUGGCAAGCGUUGUCCGGAUUUAUUGGGCGUAAAGCGAGUGCAGGCGGUUCAAUAAGUCUGAGGUGAAAGCCCUCGGCGCAACCGGAGAAU
rnacentral:rRNA from 1 species